CUAUACAUGCAAGUCGAGCGGACAGAUGGGAGCUUGCUCCCUGAUGUUAGCGGCGGACGGGUGAGUAACACGUGGGUAACCUGCCUGUAAGACUGGGAUAACUCCGGGAAACCGGGGCUAAUACCGGAUGGUUGUUUGAACCGCAUGGUUCAGACAUAAAAGGUGGCUUCGGCUACCACUUACAGAUGGACCCGCGGCGCAUUAGCUAGUUGGUGAGGUAACGGCUCACCAAGGCGACGAUGCGUAGCCGACCUGAGAGGGUGAUCGGCCACACUGGGACUGAGACACGGCCCAGACUCCUACGGGAGGCAGCAGUAGGGAAUCUUCCGCAAUGGACGAAAGUCUGACGGAGCAACGCCGCGUGAGUGAUGAAGGUUUUCGGAUCGUAAAGCUCUGUUGUUAGGGAAGAACAAGUGCCGUUCAAAUAGGGCGGCACCUUGACGGUACCUAACCAGAAAGCCACGGCUAACUACGUGCCAGCAGCCGCGGUAAUACGUAGGUGGCAAGCGUUGUCCGGAAUUAUUGGGCGUAAAGGGCUCGCAGGCGGUUUCUUAAGUCUGAUGUGAAAGCCCCCGGCUCAACCGGGGAGGGUCAUUGGAAACUGGGGAACUUGAGUGCAGAAGAGGAGAGUGGAAUUCCACGUGUAGCGGUGAAAUGCGUAGAGAUGUGGAGGAACACCAGUGGCGAAGGCGACUCUCUGGUCUGUAACUGACGCUGAGGAGCG
rnacentral:rRNA from 1 species